UGGGGUGUUGUGUAAUGGUAGCACGACAGACUCUGAAUCUGUUUGUAUAGGUUCGACUCCUUUCACCCCAA
rnacentral:tRNA from 1 species